rnacentral:rRNA from 1 species
GCUUAGUGCCUUCGGGACUGUGAGACAGGUGCUGCAUGGCUGUCGUCAGCUCGUGUUGUGAAAUGUUGGGUUAAGUCCCGCAACGAGCGCAACCCUUAUCCUUUGUUGCCAGCACGUAAUGGUGGGAACUCAAAGGAGACUGCCGGUGAUAAACCGGAGGAAGGUGGGGAUGACGUCAAGUCAUCAUGGCCCUUACGAGUAGGGCUACACACGUGCUACAAUGGCGUAUACAAAGAGAAGCGAACUCGCGAGAGCCAGCGGACCUCAUAAAGUACGUCGUAGUCCGGAUCGGYGUCUGCAACUCGACUCCGUGAAGUCGGAAUCGCUAGUAAUCGUAGAUCAGAAUGCUACGGUGAAUACGUUCCCGGGUCUUGUACACAC